UACGAAGGGGGCGAGCGUUGUUCGGAAUUACUGGGCGUAAAGGGCGCGUAGGCGGCGAUCCUAGUCAGAUGUGAAAGUCCUGGGCUUAACCUGGGGACUGCAUUUGAUACUGGAUUGCUUGAAUUCGGGAGAGGAUAGCGGAAUUCCCAGUGUAGAGGUGAAAUUCGUAGAUAUUGGGAAGAACACCGGUGGCGAAGGCGGCUAUCUGGACCGACAUUGACGCUGAGGCGCGAAAGCGUGGGGAGCAAACAGGG
rnacentral:rRNA from 1 species